AGUGAACGCUGGCGGUAGGCCUAACACAUGCAAGUCGAACGGCAGCACAGUAAGAGCUUGCUCUUACGGGUGGCGAGUGGCGGACGGGUGAGGAAUACAUCGGAAUCUACUUUUUCGUGGGGGAUAACGUAGGGAAACUUACGCUAAUACCGCAUACGACCUACGGGUGAAAGCAGUGGAUCUUCGGACCUUGCGCGAUUGAAUUAGCCGAUGUCGGAUUAGCUAGUUGGUGGGGUAAAGGCCCACCAAGGCGACGAUCCGUAGCUGGUCUGAGAGGAUGAUCAGCCACACUGGAACUGAGACACGGUCCAGACUCCUACGGGAGGCAGCAGUGGGGAAUAUUGGACAAUGGGCGCAAGCCUGAUCCAGCCAUACCGCGUGAGUGAAGAAGGCCUUCGGGUUGUAAAGCCCUUUUGUUGGGAAAGAAAAGCAGCAGGUUAAUACCCCGCUGUUCUGACGGUACCCAAAGAAUAAGCACCGGCUAACUUCGUG
rnacentral:rRNA from 1 species